CCUACGGGAGGCCGCAGUGGGGAAUAUUGCACAAUGGGGGAAACCCUGAUGCAGCGACGCCGCGUGAGUGAAGAAGUAAUUCGUUAUGUAAAGCUCUAUCAGCAGGGAAGAAAAUGACGGUACCUGAGUAAGAAGCCCCGGCUAACUACGUUCCAGCCGCCGCGGUAAUAAGUAGGGGGCAAGCGUUAUCCGGAUUUACUGGGUGUAAAGGGAGCGUAGACGGGAGUGCAAGUCUGGAGUGAAAGGCGGGGGCUCAACCCCCGGACUGCUCUGGAAACUGUACGGCUGGAGUGCAGGAGAGGUAAGUGGAAUUCCUAGUGUAGCGGUGAAAUGCGUAGAUAUUAGGAGGAACACCAGUGGCGAAGGCGGCUUACUGGACUGUAACUGACGUUGAGGCUCGAAAGCGUGGGGAGCAAACAGGAUUAGAUACCCCGGUAGUC
rnacentral:rRNA from 1 species